CAUCAGGGGGAUUGCCUUAGUACGGCGAGUGAAGCGGCAAAAGCUCAAAUUUGAAAUCUGGCACCUUCGGUGUCCGAGUUGUAAUUUGAAGAAGGUAACUUUGGAGUUGGCUCUUGUCUAUGUUCCUUGGAACAGGACGUCACAGAGGGUGAGAAUCCCGUGCGAUGAGAUGCCCAAUUCUAUGUAAAGUGCUUUCGAAGAGUCGAGUUGUUUGGGAAUGCAGCUCUAAGUGGGUGGUAAAUUCCAUCUAAAGCUAAAUAUUGGCGAGAGACCGAUAGCGAACAAGUACAGUGAUGGAAAGAUGAAAAGAACUUUGAAAAGAGAGUGAAAAAGUACGUGAAAUUGUUGAAAGGGAAGGGCUUGAGAUCAGACUUGGUAUUUUGCGAUCCUUUCCUUCUUGGUUGGGUUCCUCGCAGCUUACUGGGCCAGCAUCGGUUUGGAUGGUAGGAUAAUGACUAAGGAAUGUGGCUCUACUUCGGUGGAGUGUUAUAGCCUUGGUUGAUACUGCCUGUCUAGACCGAGGACUGCGUCUUUUGACUAGGAUGUUGGCAUAAUGAUCUUAAGCCACCCGUCUGAAAAAGGGGGAAAAAAAAAAAAUAUAAAAAAUU
rnacentral:rRNA from 1 species